rnacentral:rRNA from 1 species
AUGGCCGCGGUAUUCUAACCGUGCAAAGGUAGCAUAAUCAUUAGUCUAUUAAUUGUUGACUUGUAUGAAUGGUUUGACGAAAUAUUGACUGUCUCAUUUAUUUUAUUAAAAUUUAAAUUUUGAGUUAAAAUGCUUAAAUUUGUUUAGAGGACGAGAAGACCCUGUAGAUCUUCAUUAGUUGAUUUAUUAAUUUAUUUAGUUUAUUAUUUUUUGGUAGGUUUAUUAGUUUUGUUGGGGUGACAUGAAGAAAUAAUUAACUCUUUAUUAUUUUUUACAUUGAUUUUUGUUUAGUUUGACCUUUUAUUAUUGUUAUAAGAUAAAGAUACCUCAGGGAUAACAGCGUAAUUCUUUUUGAGAGUUCAAAUCGACAAAGGAGAUUGCGACCUCGAUGUUGGAUUAAGAUUAAUAAUAGGUGUAGAUGCUUUUUUAUUAGGUCUGUUCGACCUUUAAAUUCUUACAUGAUCUGAGUUCAAACCGGAGAA